rnacentral:rRNA from 1 species
UACGGAAGGCAGCAGUGGGGAAUAUUGCACAAUGGGCGCAAGCCUGAUGCAGCCAUGCCGCGUGUAUGAAGAAGGCCUUCGGGUUGUAAAGUACUUUCAGUCGUGAGGAAGGUGUUAAGGUUAAUAACCUUAGCAAUUGACGUUAGCGACAGAAGAAGCACCGGCUAACUCCGUGCCAGCAGCCGCGGUAAUACGGAGGGUGCGAGCGUUAAUCGGAAUUACUGGGCGUAAAGGGCACGCAGGCGGUUAAUUAAGUUGGAUGUGAAAUCCCCGGGCUUAACCUGGGAAUGGCAUUCAAGACUGGUUAGCUAGAGUCUUGUAGAGGGGGUAGAAUUCCAUGUGUAGCGGUGAAAUGCGUAGAGAUGUGGAGGAAUACCGGUGGCGAAGGCGGCCCCUGGGACAAAGACUGACGCUCAUGUGCGAAAGCGUGGGGAGGCAAACAGGAUUAGAUACC